rnacentral:rRNA from 1 species
AAGUCGUACGGAACGUAGCAAUACGUUUAGUGGCGGAAGGGUGAGUAAUGCAUGGGUAACGUACCCCGAUCGUUGGAACAACCAUGGGAAACUGUGGCUAAUACCAGAUAAUGUCCUUGGGCGGCAUCGCCUGAAGACCAAAGGUGGGGACCGCAAGGCCUACCAGAUUGGGAGCGACCCAUGUCCUAUCAGCUAGUUGGUGAGGUAACGGCUCACCAAGGCGUAGACGGGUAACCGGACUGAGAGGUCGGCCGGUCACAUCGGGACUGAGACACUGCCCGGACACCUACGGGUGGCUGCAGUAACGAAUAUUGGGCAAUGGGCGAAAGCCUGACCCAGCAAUGCCGCGUGCAGGAGGAAGUCCUUCGGGAUGUAAACUGCUGUCAGGGGCUAACAAGCAAUGGACCUAAUACGUCCGUAGUUGAGUCGCCCCAGAGGAAGCCUCGACUAACUCUGUGCCAGCAGUCGCGGUAAUACAGAGGAGGCAAGCGUUAUUCGGAAUCAUUGGGCUUAAAGCGCGUGUAGGCGGCUUGGUAAGCGUCCCGUGAAAUCUCACUGCUCAACGGUGAGACUGCGGGGCGAACUGCCUGGCUUGAGGUUGGUAGAGGUGCCUGGAACUCUAGGUGGAGCGGUGAAAUGCGUAGAUAUCUAGAGGA